rnacentral:rRNA from 1 species
GAUAAACGCUGGCGGCGCACAUAAGACAUGCAAGUCGAACGGACUUAACCUAUAGUUUACUAUUGGAGCGGUUAGUGGCGGACUGGUGAGUAACGCGUAAGCAAUCUGCCUAUCAGAGGGGAAUAACAGUGAGAAAUCACUGCUAAUACCGCAUAAGCUGUGAGUAUCGCAUGAUAGAGAUAUCAAAGGAGCAAUCCGCUGAGAGAUGGGGCUCGCGUCCGAUUAGAUAGUUGGUGAGGUAACGGCUCACCAAGUCGACGAUCGGUAGCCGGACUGAGAGGUUGAACGGCCACAUUGGGACUGAGACACGGCCCAG